rnacentral:lncRNA from 1 species
GCAGAAGUGACAUUGUGUAACUUUCCAAAGCUUCAUUUUAAGAAAUCUGCAGCUUCCACUUUUACCACUUUGAAUGUUACUCCUUGAAGCCAGCUACCACACUAUGUAGACCAAACCAGCCACAUGUAGAGUUCUACAUGGAGGAGAACCAAAGCCCCAGCCAACAGAUCAAACUGAGUUUAUAGCCAGCACCAUCUCUGCUGUUAGCUCCACCCUGAAGUUCCACA